GAUGAACGCUGGCGGCGUGCCUAAUACAUGCAAGUCGAGCGAACGGACGAGAAGCUUGCUUCUCUGAUGUUAGCGGCGAACGGGUGAGUAACACGUGGAUAACCUACCUAUAAGACUGGGAUAACUUCGGGAAACCGGAGCUAAUACCGGAUAAUAUUUUGAACCGCAAGGUUCAAAAGUGAAAGACGGUCUUGCUGUCACUUAUGGAUGGAUCCGAGCUGCAUUAGCUUGUUGGUAAGGUAACGGCUUACCACGGCAACGAUGCAUAGCCGACCCGAGAGGGUGAUCGGCCACACUGGAACUGAGACACGGUCCAGACCCCUACGGGAGGCAGCGGUAGGGAAACUUCCGCAAUGUGCGAAAGCCUGACGGAGAAACGCCGCUGGAGUGAUGAAGAUCUUCGGAUCGUAAAACUCUGUUAUUAGGGAAGAACAUAGGUGUAAGUAACUGUUCACAGCUUGACGGUACCUAAUCAGAAAGCCACGGCUAACUACGUG
rnacentral:rRNA from 1 species